GACGUAGGGCGCGAGCGUUGUCCGGAUUUAUUGGGCGUAAAGAGCUCGUAGGCGGCUUGUCGCGUCGUCCGUGAAAACCUGCAGCUCAACUGCAGGCUUGCGGUCGAUACGGGCAGGCUAGAGUUCGGUAGGGGAGACUGGAAUUCCUGGUGUAGCGGUGAAAUGCGCAGAUAUCAGGAGGAACACCGGUGGCGAAGGCGGGUCUCUGGGCCGAUACUGACGCUGAGGAGCAAAAGCGUGGGGAGCGAACAGG
rnacentral:rRNA from 1 species